rnacentral:rRNA from 1 species
CCUACGGGUGGCAGCAGUGAGGAAUAUUGGUCAAUGGGCGUAAGCCUGAACCAGCCAAGUCGCGUGAGGGAUGAAGGUUCUAUGGAUCGUAAACCUCUUUUAUAAGGGAAUAAAGUGCGGGAUGUGUACCGUUUUGUAUGUACCUUAUGAAUAAGGAUCGGCUAACUCCGUGCCAGCAGCCGCGGUAAUACGGAGGAUCCGAGCGUUAUCCGGAUUGAUUGGGUUUAAAGGGUGCGUAGGCGGCCUUUUAAGUCAGUGGGGAAAGUUUGUGGCUCAACCAUAGAAUUGCCGUUGAUACUGGGAGGCUUGAGUAUGUUAGAGGCAGGCGGAAUGCGUGGUGUAGCGGUGAAAUGCUUAGAUAUCACGCAGAACCCCGAUUGCGAAGGCAGCCUGCCAAGCCAUGACUGGCGCUGAUGCACGAAAGCGUGGGGAUCAAACAGGAUUAGAUACCCGGGUAGUC